rnacentral:lncRNA from 1 species
AUCACAUUGGUAUUUUAACAGUGUUAUUGUAAGAGUUUAAAUGUUUAAACAGAGGAUACAUCUAAAACAGGAUAAAACAAGUGCAGUAUGUUCUGAGAAUGUUACUGUUUGUCCAGUGUGUGUGUGUGUGUGUUUGUCCAGUGUGUGUGUGUGUGUGUUUGUCCAGUGUGUGUGUGUGUGUGUGUUGUGUGUGUGUGUGUGUGUGUGUUUGUCCAGUGUGUGUGUGUGUGUGUGUUUGUCCAGUGUGUGUGUGUGUUUGUCCAGUGUGUGUGUGUGUGUGUGUGUGUUUGUCCAGUGUUUGUGUGUGUGUUGUGUGUGUGUGUGUGUUUGUCCAGUGUGUGUGUGUGUGUGUUUGUCCAGUGUGUGUGUGUGUGUGUGUUUGUCCAGUGUGUGUGUGUGUGUGUGUUUGUCCAGUGUGUGUGUGUGUGUGUGUGUGUGUCCAGUGUGUGUGUGUGUGUGUGUGUUGUGUGUGUGUGUGUGUGUCCAGUGUGUGUGUGUGUGUGUGUGUGUGUAUUUUUGUUUGACCAGUGUGUGUGUGUGUGUGUGUGUGUGUGUGUGUGUGUGUGUGUCCAGUGUGUGUGUGUGUGUGUGUGUGUGUGUCCAGUGUGUGUGUGUGUAUGUGUGUGAGUGUGUGUGUGUUUUCGUUUGUCCAGUGUGCGUGUGUCCAGAAUGUGUUUGUGUGUGUUUGUUCAGUGUGUGUGUUGAGUGUGUGUGUCCAUUUUGUGUCCAGUUUGUGUGUGUUCAGUGUGUGUUCAGUGUGUGUGUGUGUGUGUGUGUGUCCAGUGUGUGUGUGCCCAGUUUGUGUGUCCAGUGUGUGUGUGUGUGUUUGUGUGUGUUUGUGUGUGUGUGUUUGUGUGUGUGUCCAGUGUGUGUGUGUGUGUGUGUGUGUGUGUGUUUGUCCAGUGUGUGUGUGUGUGUGUGUGUGUGUGUGUGUGUGU